GACGAACGCUGGCGGCGUGCCUAAUACAUGCAAGUCGAACGCAGUGGGGACGGGUGAGUAACACGUGGGUAACCUCCCAUCAGAGGGGAUAACACUUGGAAACAGGUGCUAAACCGAUACUGAUGGAUGGACCCGCGGUGCAUUAGCCAGUUGGUGAGGUAACGGCUCACCAAGGCGACGAGCCCUAGCUGGGCUGAGAGGAUGAUCAGCCACACGGGAACUGAGACACGGCCCAGACUCCUACGGGAGGCAGCAGUAGGGAAUCUUCGGCAAUGGACGAAAGCCUGACCGAGCCACGCCGCGUGAAUGAAGAAGGUUUUCGGAUCGUAAAGCUCUGUUGUUGGAGAAGCGGUAUCUAACCAGAAAGCCACGGCUAACUACGUGCCAGCAGCCGCGGUAAUAC
rnacentral:rRNA from 1 species